AGAACACAGAGCAUCUUGUCUUCCACCACCGUCCACGUCACCACGAGACCAUGAGUCGUCUGUCAGUUGCCGUCAGUGUUUUGCUGGCCAUGGCGAUGAUCACCAUGACUACAGCGCACAGCAGCAGCUCUUGUAGUGAGAACAUCAUCCCUGUACCCUGGCCGAUCAGUACCAGCUCAGGGGGCAGCACCAGUAGCUUUGGUGGCGGCUUUGGCUCAGAGGCUCUCUUGUUGGGGCUGUUGAACCAGGGCGUGGUCGUCAAUGCCCAGCCUGUGGGCAGGUAACAGGUUCGACACCAGACGGGAGAGACACUGAUAUCGUCUUUAACUGUCAAAUAUCCUACUUUAACCAUUUAAAAGCCACGUAAUCGCCUGUGAAGGGAUCUGCCAGAACCAGCUGUGGGGGCUUUUUGUGGCAAGUCAGGAACCUCGUCACCAAACUGUCACAACUAGGACAAUUUUUGUGGGAUUUUAGUGCUUUUAAAUAGAUAAAUAAAUAUCGUUUGAUUCUA